rnacentral:rRNA from 1 species
UACGUAGGGUGCAAGCGUUGUCCGGAAUUAUUGGGCGUAAAGCGCACGUAGGCGGCCUUGUAAGUCGGAUGUGAAAUCCCUCGGCUUAACCGAGGACGUGCAUCCGAAACUGUGAGGCUCGAGUAUGGAAGAGGGUCGCAGAAUUCCCGGUGUAGAGGUGAAAUUCGUAGAUAUCGGGAGGAAUACCAGUGGCGAAGGCGGCGACCUGGGCCAAUACUGACGCUGAGGUGCGAAAGCGUGGGGAGCAAACAGG